AACUGGAUAUAGGGAUGCUUAUGUGGAAAAUUUUAACAAGAAAGGAAAAAGAAGACGGGAAGGGAAAUGAUAAGAAAAAUGAAAAGGUAGGUUUUAUAUAUAUAUAUAUAUAUAUAUAGGGGUUUUUUUGCAUAUGUUGAUGUUGUUGUUGGUUUGGGAGUUGGGUCCAAAGGAAAGAGUUUUUGAGAGUUUAAUUAAUGUGUUGGGAUUUAAUUUUUGUGUUGGGGUUUAAUAAAUUCGAUGCUCAGAAAUUAAUGUUUGGCGUACCAAA